GUGCGAUUGUGUGGGACGGUCUGGGGCAGCCCAGCAGCGGCUGACCCUCUGCCUGCGGGGAAGGGAGUCGCCAGGCGGCCGUCAUGGCGGUGUCGGAGAGCCAGCUCAAGAAAAUGGUGUCCAAGUUUUUAACGAUGGCAGUUCCAGGGAACUAAUGAACCUCACUGGAACAAUCCCUGUGCCUUAUAGAGGUAAUACAUACAAUAUUCCAAUAUGCCUAUGGCUACUGGACACAUACCCAUAUAAUCCCCCUAUCUGUUUUGUUAAGCCUACUAGUUCAAUGACUAUUAAAACAGGAAAGCAUGUUGAUGCAAAUGGGAAGAUAUAUCUUCCUUAUCUACAUGAAUGGAAACACCCACAGUCAGACUUGUUGGGGCUUAUUCAGGUCAUGAUUGUGGUAUUUGGAGAUGAACCUCCAGUCUUCUCUCGUCCUAUUUCGGCAUCCUAUCCGCCAUACCAGGCAACGGGGCCACCAAAUACUUCCUACAUGCCAGGCAUGCCAGGUGGAAUCUCUCCAUACCCAUCCGGAUACCCUCCCAAUCCCAGUGGUUACCCAGGCUGUCCUUACCCACCUGGUGGUC
rnacentral:lncRNA from 1 species